GGAGGAGUGGGUGAGUGGCUGAAACCAGCUGAUUGCUAAUUAGCCGUACGGGUCAAACCGUACCGCGGGUUCGAAUCCCGCCUCCUCCGCCA
rnacentral:tRNA from 1 species